UCCCUGCUAGGUGCGUGAUGUCUGGUAUGUUUUUGACCAACACCUUUCAUAGGGGAACCCGGACUCUGCUGUUGGAUUUGAUGCCGCUUAUGUUUAGGCGGAACGCUGAGGACAGUGGGAGGGAUCCCACCUGCACAUGCAGGUUCAAAACGCUGGGCAUUAACGGCUGUGUGGGGUUU
rnacentral:other from 1 species